rnacentral:rRNA from 1 species
GGGCCCGCACAAGCGGUGGAUGAUGUGGAUUAAUUCGAUGCAACGCGAAAAACCUUACCUACGCUUGACAUGUCCGAGAUCCCGAAGAGAUUUGGGAGUGCUCGAAAGAGAAUCGGAACACAGGUGCUGCAUGGCUGUCGUCAGCUCGUGUCGUGAGAUGUUGGGUUAAGUCCCGCAACGAGCGCAACCCUUGUCAUUAGUUGCUACAUUAAGUUGGGCACUCUAAUGAGACUGCCGGUGACAAACCGGAGGAAGGUGGGGAUGACGUCAAGUCCUCAUGGCCCUUAUGCGUAGGGCUUCACACGUCAUACAAUGGUCGGUACAGAGGGUCGCCAACCCGCGAGGGGGAGCCAAUCUCAGAAAGCCGAUCGUAGUCCGGAUCGCAGUCUGCAACUCGACUGCGUGAAGUCGGAAUCGCUAGUAAUCGCGGAUCAGCAUGUCGCGGUGAAUACGUUCCCGGGCCUU